CGACUCGGGGCCACCUUCACUUCCUGCCUCCCAGAGGCCUCCGCGCCGCCUGCUCCGGGCCUGGGGCUGAGCCUCCCCCUCUCCGCGCCUCGCUUUCCAGUAUCCAGUGUGAACCCCGCCCCCGCCCCGCCUUCAUUGCGCCUCACCUACGGAGGCCCCGCCUCCGCCCCGCCCCUCUGGCUCCGAGGGCCCGCACUGCCUGGGUUCCCCCGCCCAGUUGAGGGCGCUCCGGUCUCCGGCGGUUCUGGAGGAAAGAAAAGGCUCCCGCGGCCUCGGGCGUCCCGAGUUCCAGGCUCUGUUUGGGCCUAAGACAGUGCGGGGGGGUGGAGGGGGAGGGCGCAGAUUCUCCCCCCUCCCGCCCAAGGAAAUGUGGGCGUGGCCAGGCUCCCUUCCCCGCCUCUGACCCAAGAUGCGCAGCGAAGGGACUCCCUCCUGCCUGCUGGGCCAUUUCUGUCCCCGCAGCCCGGCUCUCCUCUCGGCUUGGGGAGCGAUUCCUCGGCCCUGGCACUGCCCCAGGCGCCGCCCCCUGUGAAAACUGCCCGGCUGCGGCCUGUUCAGGUGGUGACGCAAAUCGAAGGAGAUCCGGGAACGCGGAGCCACCCCGAGAGGAGCCGAGCUUUGCCCCGCAGGACUCCAAGUCCCGGCGUCCCUUGCUCCUCCUCGACUUGUUCCCUUUAUUUCUUCUACUCAAGUGAUUAUUACUGAAUCUCGUGGGUUGGAAUGCUGGGAGUUGGCGGAUAGGAAUUGUCAUCUUCCCUGCCUCAGUUUACCUCUUCUGUGCACAUCAGCCAAAGGACCAAAAUGAUUGUAUCGAACUAAGAAGAACGACAACAAAAUUCAUCUGGAAGAACAAGAGCUCAAGAACGUUCAGGGAAUUAGUGAAGAAAAUGUGCCCGAAGGACGGUGGCCCAGCAGGGCCAGACCUUACACUCUACUGUGAGGCAGGAGUGAAGAGCAGCUCCUAGCCGAGAAAGAGAAGGGAGGAUCCAUGGAACCGAGCAGGGGCCAGUGAGCUCCGCACUCUAGUGUUGGCUCCAGCCGAAGGGCCCAGCUUGUGGGAGAAGAACUCAGUGCUGGAAAACAGCCAGCAGAAGCGAUGCUAGGCAACACCUCAUCUCCACCAAGAUGAGGCCAGAGCAGAGGCGGCUGGCCGGGCUCAGCACCCCCAGAAACUCGAUCAGGGCAACCCCUCUGCUCCCAACCCAGAUCUCGGCCCCCUUCGACUGGCCCGUGGAUAUGAGCUGGCCCAGCCUCCAGGACAAGCUCCUCUCCAAUCCUUGGCCCAGAGUCACGGAAAAGAAUGGAAACCCCCCAGAACGGAGGCAUUGGGGGCACCCUUCCAGGCUGCUCCCCUCGUGCUGUCUUGCUGGCCGGGAAUUCAACAUCACUCCUAAAUCGCUCUUUUUCCUCUUCAGUUCAGAAUCUUACCACUGGGAUUUGCAACAUUUCUCAGCACAAGCCAAAAGGAACUUAGCAGAAAGGAAAGAAUAUCCUUUAGAAACAGGAAGUAUAAAACCCCAAACAGAAUCAUGUGAGAGGCAAAUAGUAGAGGUUUCAUCUAAAGGUUCUAAGCAAACUGCAAAUGACUGGAUUGAAGCACAGGAGCAAACAAGAGAAAGGUCCAAUGGGGAGGCAAAUGCAAUAAGAGAGAACAUUCAAAUGAGCAGACCUCCUGGAGACAACGUCAGGGAAUGCAGGGAUGAGAUUAAAAAAGAAAAUACCAAUGGCAUCUUAGUGUAAAAAUGGAGAUUUGAACCCUAGACUGCAAUCCCCAGAAGUCCUUGGUAUCUCCCAGAAUUCCCUGCAAUCUCACCUGAGUCUCCACCUGGGUGAGAUCAUAAUUGGUAUUUAACUGGAAGUAAUGGCUCCCUCUCUCUCUUCCAUUCCAUUGCAAUGAUGUAGUAAGAAAGCUAAGGGAGGGGAAUCUGAAUUGACUAAUCAGCCAUGGGCAUGUGGUUAUUAGUGUGUAUUUUCUUUAUUCCUUGAUUUCUAAUAAUAAUCCUUAAUAAGCCUCAUAACAUAUAAUAUUUUUGUUACUAGAGACUAGUUGAAUUUUUACAAUACAAAAGUCAACCAUAAAUCCUUAUGCAGAAGAAUUCCAACCAACAGUAACUGAACAAGAAAAAGCAAACACAAACAAUUCCAUUGUAAACUGAUGAUGGUUUGCAAAGUGAAUAUUCAAAGCAACAAGGAAAGUCUGCAGCUGAAGGACAAUACUGGGAUUUGAACAAAAUAGAACUACAUGCAACCUUUGGUCCAAGUAUGCCAACAAAAUGAGAACACAGAACUAUGGGUCAUGAUAAAAGUGGGUAAUGAGAUCUACCCAGCUCUUAUCAAUACAGGGGCAACUAAAUCUGUUUAAAAACAUCUCCUGAAGACAGCCAAAUCACAAGUUAUGUACAAAUAAUGGGGGCUACAGGGAAAAAACAGUACCAAAACUAAAAUCAAAAUUGAUAACUUUAGGACCCCUACCAACAGAAAACACAUUCUUGUUAAUCCCAGAAUGCCCAAUCAACCUUCUUGGGAGAGAGUUUUUGUGUAAAAUCAGAGCAACCAUUCAAUGUGAUAAAUUGGGGAAAAGCUCUCAACUAGUCUAGUGGUCCAGCUUGUACUGCAGCUCCGGAUUCAUGGUGUUCAUGCUGUUUGUGCUGUAAUUCCUGAAUAUAGGAAGCAAUAAUAGUAUCUCCCUCUAAUAGUGAUGUAUAUGCAGGAGAGAAAGGCUUAGCCUGUAUAGGCGGAUGUCCAAAAAGCAUCUCAAAUGGUGAGAUAUGUAAGUCUCCUCUAGGCCUGCUUCUAAGAUAAAAUAGGGCCAGAGGGAGAAUUUCAGGCACAGUGCAUAAUUUGCCAAUCAUAUUUUUAAGUUCUCUGUUCAGUCUUUCAUCUUGGCCUGAGCUCUGGGGGUGAUGUGGUAGAUGAAAUUUGGGAAUUAUCCCUAAGCAAGAAUAUAUUUGAUUUAGGACAGAAUCAGUAAAAUGACUUCCUCUAUGUGGAUCAAUAUGUACUGGCAGGCCAAAGUGAGGAAUAAUCUCUUUUGAAAGCACCUUAGCAACAAAAUCUGCUGGGUCUCAGGCUUCUGGAAAUGCUUCUGGCCAUCUGGUCAGCUGAUCUACUAUGACUACACAAAAUUUAUAAUGUCCAGCCUCUGGCAGUAGGUGCUGUAGGUGCUCAAAAGGUGUAUAAGCCAGAGGAUGCCCACCAAAGGCUUUGCCAUAAAAGGAAUGUUGGUUAUAUUCUUGGCAUAUAGAGCAGACUGUACACACUUUAGAGGCUAUAGUAGUUAUACCAGGGGCUAUCCAUACUCUUAACAGAGUCCAUGAUGCCCUGGGUACCAAAGUGACCAUUUUUAUGAAUAGUUUGGCAAAUUUGGUGAUAGAAACUUCUAGGGAGAAGGGGUUUUCCUUCAUAUGACACCCAUUGUGAAUUUUAAAACUAUUCCACCCUAAUCAGACCGUACUUUAGAAGAUCUGAUUUAGCUAUUUCCUGAUCAAUAACAAUAGAGAUACUUGGACUAACAGAAUCAGGUCUUGGGAACCCUGAAUUUCUUCACCCUACUUAGUUUAACAAGAUUAGGAAGGUCUGCACCAAACUCAAAAUUUAAUUAUCUGAGGAAAUGGCCUUCAACAGACAUGUGCAGAAAAAGCAGACAGACCCCUGGGCUGUCCUAACUCAAGUUAAGCUAUUAUUGGUACAGAUGAAACGCAGGAAAGUGAUGUAAAACUGUCUAUAUAAGGCACGUCACUUCCUCUCUCUUUCUCUUUCCCUGGAGAGGCGACUCUGGCUGGCAGCGUGCUAGGUGUUCUGACAUCUUGGAGUGCUGGCAGUUAUUUGUCUGGGUUAGGCAUUGAGUUUUGCCCUUAAGCUGAUUCAGGUUUGGACAUCUUAGCUGAGCCUCUUUGGAGGUCAGGCUGAUUCCUUCCUCCUUCACACUCACAACCUUACUUUCUAGCUCUCCUAAUCUUCUCACCCGGUUCUAGCCCCUUCCUUCUUCCUUCUUCUUAAUCUAUUCCACUAUAUCAAUUAAAUCACCAUAAAAUUUCCAGCUGACUUGGGUAUUUUAUUAUUUGGGCUUUUCCCUGGCGACCAAAUUAAAUUUAGAUUUUUAAGUCACAACGCUAAAAUUAUUCUUUACAGUUUUGUCUGACCACAUUGGUUGUGAUGAAAUACCCUCAAUCUUCUUAACUUUCCUAAACUUUUUUUCACCCCACUGUGACUAUCCCUUUUAAUAGCUUAUUUUGAUCAGUUAUAAAGGUAAGUAAAAUUUGGAUUCAUUUUAUUUUUCUUUUCUCCUACUCUCCUUAAAUUAGAUAGAAAACAGCUAUUUUAAAUCUUUGCAACAGAGCCCUAAGGUCCUAACUGGGAGAGCUGUUUCUAAAUCUCCUUUAGGGAACAACUGGCUACAUUAUGUAAAGAUUAAAAUUUGGGGGGAAACUAAGGCAGGUAGAAAUUAGUUUCUCUCUGCAAGGAGUAUGAUAUUUUUAGAGGUUUAUUAAAGGUUAAGGAUUAAAGAAAAUACAGAAUAAGAAAAGCAUGUGUCUAGGCCAGAGAAAGAGAGGCCUAGACAACCUCACCUACAUCAUCAAAAGACUUGUCUGCUUGCAAGGGAAAACAGGAAAGCUAAAAAAAAGAGCCCUAGAAGCCUUUCCAAUCAGGUUAAAUAUCCCAUCUCAAUCUCAGCCCAGGAGAGAAUUCCAUGAUAUUACAAAGCAUUCUGGGGAAGUGGAGCAAGUUCUUCUGGGGAUUGAAGUCCUAGAUUCAAGUCUCCAUUUUUACAAAUAGGAGUGGGAGAAAUCUGUAAAAAGUUUUGGCCUUGUCCUUCUCCCCACAUGUUUUGUGAAGCCCGCUAGAAGAAUAAUUACACACACACACACACACACACACACACACACACACACAUAUUACAUAUAUAUUAAUACUACAUUCUUUGACAUUUAUAUGGCAGUUGUAGAAUUUAAAAUGGUUGAUGGCCUUAAAUUGUUGUAGAUAAAAGAGUGGGAGCCAUAAACUGUAACAAUUGAAAUGGGUGAAGCCAGGAAAAGGGAAACAAUUAUGAUAAAUAUAAGAGUGGGUGAGUAAAUUUUACCACAGAAAAUAUAUUUCACUACAGUGUCUUGUUUUAAAUCAAAUAUAAGGUGGUCACCAGGGAAUUAUUCUCAAUUAUGAAUAUACCCAAGUCAAUUGGGUUUUAUAGAGAAUUUUAAUUAAUAAUACAAUGAGUAAUCAAAGAAAGAAAGAGAGAGAGAAAAAGGUAUAAGUAUGAAGGGCCGUAAGCCAACAUGGCCUAGACCUAAGUCUUAAGAGAGAAAUCAGUCAGUCUUUUAUCACUCACCACAAGAUCUGUCCAACCAAGGAUUCUAGUGACACCAGGCCAGCAUCAUCUCAGCUGCUUUCACCAACUCCCUCCUCAAUCUAAAUGUUUCAGAAUGAGUCCUCUUGAGCUCCUCUCUGAGCUCUUAUUUUAAAGGGCAAUUUCUCCUAUGUCACCUCCCCUAAGUUCUUCCAUCUACCAAUCACCAUAGAUGUUUUCCAAAAGACAGCCCAUUCUGAAUUCACAGCUGAGUAGAUUAAUCCCUUCAGUAAGUCUGAACCAGAGAAAAACACUGCUGUGUUGACUAAUCUCAUCAAGAGAAAACCUCUGAAUAAGUUUUCACCUCUUUGCUCCUGGCAAGUUUACAAGUUGCCCCACCUUUAUAGGUACCUAGCAUCCCAUUGUAUCAAUUCUAAAAACAGGCAUGGUUCAAAGAACUCCUUGCCUUAUUAUAAGUAUGGUUUUUAAGUACUUUCAUUGUUUAGCAAGGAGUUUUCUCCCCUAAAGCAGUCUUAAGUACGGGUGGAGUAGAGGUCCUCCCAUAGCAAGGAGUUUUCACAUCAAAAUGGGGAAUGUUUCCAGUAGGGAAUUUUGUUCCAAAUGGAGGAUUCCUCAAUGUGGACAUUUUUAACAUUCACAAGUCUGAGAAAUGUCAAGAUUUACACAGUUGAAGAAUUAGGGACAUUGAGGAAUACAGCAUACCUCCAAUUUUUUAUAUUAUUAGGUAAUGUCAUUUUUGUCCUCAGUACUGUGUUAAGAGAUGAUAAAAUACAAAAAAUUAUGCAAAAAUCAGAUAAAAUGCGGGAAAACAGAAAAAACUGAGGCUAAAAUACAGUCGAACAUAUAAGCCCAACUGGAGAAUUUAAAAUGUUUCUUACAGAUUCAAUUGGCAAACCUCCACCCCACCAGAAAUAGACCUGAUUCUGAACCUUUGAAUGAGGAAAUUUCCUUCCCUGAAAUAGAGAUGGAAAACACCUUCUCUAUAGCUUAGCUAACAGACUAGCUCUCUCAUGGUCAGAAAAUCUUGGCUGAACUUAAUCCCCAAAACCCUUCCCCUGCAAUCCCAGUUACUCAUGUUCCUUCUCCAACACAAAAUCAAAUUCCAAUCCAAAGGAGAUCUCGUCCUUCUAGAGAAACAUGUCUCAGUCAAACUGACCCACAGGUACCAAAUUCAAUUAGAGGCCUGUUUCCUCUAAGAGAGUACCUGAAAUAGGACGGAAUGGGGAUGUGGUGACAUUAAGACAGAACAUAUCGUUUACUCCCCAAGAAAUAAAUGAAUUUACACGAAAUAUCCUCACAUAUGAACAAGAUCCCAUUCUAGUAACACAAAAGAUGACAGACAUUUUUUCAAUAUAGUCUGUCUUCCAAAGAUGUUGAAAAUUUGCUACAGGCUUUUUUAACUGAAUGUGAGAAAAAUAAAAUAAUUUCUCAUGUCAACAAAACCUGGAGGUGCAAUUAAGCACAUUGGCCAUCUCAGGAUCCCGAAUGGGACUAUAAUGACUCUGAGGAUCUUUUACAACUAUACCGUUGUAGGGAGGCCAUCCUAACAGCAAUGAGAGAAUGUAAAGAUGGCACAGAUAAGUGGAUGGAAUUUGAAAAAAUUAAGCAAAAUGAGGAAGAGACACCCUCCAGAUUCAUGGACAGAAUAAUUGAGAUUGGGGGUAGAUACUUGGAUUUUGAACAAUUGAAAGAAAAUUGCAUAAGACAAGUUAGAAGGCUCCUUGUCAAUACUCUUGCAAAGUGAUUAGGGAUUAUUAUAGAACACAUAGCCCAAGAUGGCCAGAGAUAGACCUUGAAGAAUGGCGGAAAACAGCUCUUUAUGUUUCAAAGGGAAACAAAGAAAAGGAGGAAGAAAAUAAUGAUUUCAUAGAGGAAAUAAAGAAAGAAUUGAUAUGUUUAAAAAAUAAGAUGGCUAAAAUGGAAAGUGGGCAUGAUAAUCAACUAAUGACACUUGCCCCUCUCCAGGAAUCUAAUUAUCAAUCAAGUACCUGCCAAUUCUGUGAGAAGAAAGGCCACAAAAUGAUUGAGUAUAGAACUUUACUCAAAAUUAUCAGAAGGAAUAAGCAGUUUAAUAACAACUCCAGAAUUGAUACUUAUAGAAAUAACUAUAAUAGUAGUAGUCUCUCAGUAACCGAGGAUGACGAUUGUCUUUGUGCGUUUUUAUCUACGGUGUAUAGAUGAGUGUGCACAAAGACACUUGUGCUUGAAGGAGAUUUAAGUGGAAAAGUCGAUGCACAGAGACAGUCCCACUCUCAGCUUUGGAAGCCUGGGUCCAAUGGCACAAAAAAUCAUUAAACCUGGAGACUUCCUCAGCUGCAUUGGAUUAGAUGCUUCCUAAGAGGAUAGUGCAUUGGAAGGUAAAGGAGAAAGGAAUCAGCCUAAACUCCAAGAGAGUUCAGAGAAGAAGCCUCACCUGAACUAGGUUACUAGGAUUCCCCAGUAGUGUAUCAAGGACACUCACCGCCAAACCCGGACAAUAGUUUCCUCCACGCCAAGAUGCCAAGAUGCUCAGCACGCUGCUGCCAGGCACCUCUCUGCACAGAGACUGGAAAGAGGAAGUGAUGCCAAAUAUAUAGACUGUUUUUACAUCACUUUCCUGUGUCUUACAUAUACCAAUGGUAGCUUAAGCUUGACUUGGGACAGCCCAGGGGCCUGUCAGUUGUUUCUGAUUUGUCAUUUUCUAGCACAUGUCUGUCAGAGGCCGUCCUCCUAGAUACUUAAUCCUUAAGUAGGGGUGUAGACAUUCCUGUUUUACUAGACUAAGCAGGGUGGAAUAAAUAUAAAGUUCACAAUCCUGACCCAAAUUCAUCUAGAAUUCUAACUCCAGAAGCCAGAAUCUGUUUGCAAAAUAUCCAAGAUGCCCUUAGUAAUUCUUAGCUCUGUCGUAUAGAUCCCACCAAACCAUUUUCAUUACUCAUCUUUGCAACAUCACAUUGACCCACUGGUCUACUUUAUCAAGAUGGGCCACUUAGAUGGUUGUAUAUAGCACAUAAUCCCUCCAAAUCUCUUUCUCAAUUCAUAGAAAUGGUAUCAUCUGUUAUUACCAAAAGAAGACACCAAGCUCUACAGCUUUUUGCUCGAGGACCUACAAAUAUCCUUCCCUUUUCUAAGGGACAAAUAACUUCCUUAUAUCAAUUCUCUAUAUACCUUGGCAAAUCGCCCUCACUGUCUUCCCUGGACAAAUUGGCCAUAACUUCCCCUCCAAUAUUGUAGUACAAUUUGCCUCUCAACAUACUUUAUUUUCCCCAAAAAAUGUUUUAAUUUCUCCUUAUCCACAAGCCAUGACUGUCUUUAUAGAUGAAUCCUCAACUGGAAAAUCUGGCAUUUAUAUCCCAAUCCAGACUUUCUACCUACCAUUCCUAUAUCAUUUUUGUCUCCUCAAAAGGUGGAACUGUAUUCACUUAUUCAAGUCCUAACUUUAUACCCAUUCACAGCCCUUAACAUUUUUACAUGUAGCAGAUACACAUACCAUACAGCUUUGCAUAUUGAAAUGGCAUUAUAAAGUCAACCCCACCCCCUGAUCACUACCAACUUCUUGCCACUUUACAAGCACUUUCUAUUAACCAUCAAACCCCAUUUGCUAUCAUGCACAUUCGUUCUCACUCCAAUUUACCAGGACCAUUAACAGAAGGAAAUAGUAUCGCAGAUUUACUUACUGCUGUGACCCGCUCACCAUUCCAACAAGCCCAAGAAUCACAUCAAUUAUUCCAUCAAAAUUCCCAAUCUUUACAAUUACAAUUCAAGUUAACUAAAGCACAAGCCAGAUUGAUUGUCAAUUCCUGCCCAUCAUGUUUAUCCACACUGCCUAGUUCACCCUCUAUGGCAAUAAACCCCAAAGGUCUCCUUCCUAACCCCCUACAGCAAAUAGAUGUUACUCAUUAUCCCUCAUUUGGCCAUUCCUCUUUCAUCCAUGUAUCUGUAGAUACUUUUUCUAAUUUAAUUUUUGCUUCUGUCCACUCCCGUGAAGCAGUAAAACAUGUAAGUUCUUAUUCGCUCUCUGCCUUUCAGUUUAUGGGCAUCAUACAAAUCCUGAAAACAGACAAUGGCCCAGCACACACAUCCAAAGCUCUUGCUAACUUCCUUUCACAAUUCAACAUAAUUUCAAAGACAGAAAUCUCAUAUCCUCCCCAGACAUUUGGAAAGAUGUCAUUACUAAUCCUUGGCAGUUCACUGUCCCUCAGGCUGUUGGAGGGCUGGACUUAAAAACAACUAUGAACAAAUCCCUAUGCACACUGCACAUAUUUUAUUUUAAAGUAAAAAAAGGGGGGGG